rnacentral:rRNA from 1 species
UACGGCGGGUGCAAGCAUUAAUCGGAAUUAUUGGGCGUAAAGGGCGCGUAGGCUGGAUCGAAAGUCAGAUGUGGACUUCCGAAGCUCAACUUCGGAACUGCAUUUGAAACUUCGAACCUAGAGGGAUGGCGGAGAAAAUGGAAUUCCACGUGUAGCGGUGAAAUGCGUAGAUAGGUGGAAGAACACCAGUGGCGAAAGCGGUUUUCUAGCUAUUUCCUGACGCUGAGGCGCGAGAGCAAGGGGAGCAAACAGG